UACCAGUUUAGCGCAAUUUGUUUAAUUAUUUUUAGUUCAUCCUGGAAGUUAAGAUAUUGUGAAAGCUCUGUGUAUCAUUGACCUAAAGGAGGAUAAUUUACGUGAGAUUUGACUGAAAGAAUCAAAGCGAAUUGUACAGUCUGUGAGAAUAUCUGCUAGAAUGGGACCAAAUGGUGAUCCCAUAGGUACCUAAAAAUUAUUAUUAUAUUUGAAAAAAUGUUGUUUCGGACAAGUAUUCAAGAGAUUGCAAAAUUCGUUAGUUAUAUAUGGGUUAUAUAUGGGUUUAACUACAUGUCAAACAAAAAUAUCUACUGAAAAAACACCUUCACAGACUGUAAAUUCCCUUUGAUUCUUUCAGUCCACUCUUACAUAAAUUAUCCGCCUUUAAGUCAAUGAUAAGGACUUCCAGGAUGAACUAAAAAUAAGUAAACAAAUUGUGCUGAAUAAUCAGGUAUGAUGACCCCACUCCGUCUCAAGUACUCCCAAGGAAUAUAACAAAUCGGUUGUCUACCCAUCCGAAGAGUAUUAGUCAAUCAAAUAUAUCGAUGAACCCUCCUUUAAAAUCAACUUCAAUGGUCCGGUCAGUAUCUCAGGACAUUCAUACAUCCAUAACAGAUUUGAAACCAAAAAGUUCCUUAUCUGACACUAGUUUAGAUGUGAGUAAAGUUAAAGCAGGAACGAUGCGACAAAUGACCAUUAAAGAGCAACCUUCAGUGUCGCUUGAGGAUGACAUUUGCUCCACAGAUUCUUCCAUUAUAGACGAGAAUGACAUUAAAAAGAAAAAACGUAAACUUAUUUUUUUCUCGAAGAAAAGUAAAAAUAAAGGUGAUUGAUUUAUUUUAGCUAGCGAAUUUGUUGUUACUUGAAUUUUGAACCUGUUAGUCUCUCCAUAUGUUUAUUUCUUUUUUCAAAAAAGUAGUUUUUGUUUUGAGAGGGGUGUAAAGAGAAAUACAUGAUGGUGGUUCAAAAAUGAACCGUGAUUGUCUUAAGUGUAUUUUCAAUACUUUGGUAAUGCUAUACAGCUGGGGCAAACUGUUUAGGAAUUAAUUAAUUCCAAACUGUUAUUAAUAGGAAAAAGUUUAUGUAUAUAAUUACUGUGUUGAGGUAAUUUUUUUAAACAACUGAGUUUCGCUAAUUAUGAAAAAAAAUGUUGUUUAUAGAUAGUUGAAAAUAGUAUUACUCUUUUUAUUUGUAUAUCGAAUUUGUUCCGGAAUCUUCAAACUAGUACUCUAGCAUGAAUUUCACAUUUAUUUGUCUCAGAUUGUAGUUCAACUGAAUUUCUGCCAACUCCAAAACAAUUUCAAAUUUGAGUUAGGUAUGGCAUUGUUGAAUUUCUUGCUAGAGUCAUGUAUGCUGUAUGCUUUAUUCUUUUACUGUCUCAUAACCAUGACGGACUCCCAAAAAUAGUUUAUAUUCUUAUAUAAUUUGCAAUGUUGAGUAGAAAUUUGAAUAUCUUUUACAAAAUAAAGGAGAGUUGUUUGAAUCACAAACAUAUACAGUCUUCCAUGGGAGUAAUUAGAUAGUGUUUUUUAAGGAGUGUUUAUAUUCUCUCCUAGAAUUAUGUCCUUAUUCCAGUACUUCAAUCACGUACUUAUGACGGACUGAGCCAUUUUACAGGCAUUUUUAUUCUCUAAUUUCAUUAAUAUUUUUUGAAGCUUGGUCUAUGUACUUUAAAAAAUUUCCGAAAUGUAUACUCUUUGCAGUUAUUUUUCUCCUCAGAGCUCCAUAAAAUGAAUAACAUAAUUUUUUCCUCGCAAUUUUAUUAAGUAUACUUUCUAAUGUCAAUGUAUGACAACAUUGGCUGUUAUAUUUCAGGUUAUUUAUGGAAGACAGCAAAAGAAAACAUUUCCUAUACACUGAUUAAAUUAUCAAAAAAUAUUUUUGAUAAGUAUAACUACAUUACUAACAUUUUUUUAUGAAUCUUCUGUGAACUGUUUCCUAACGAUGUUGAAAUAUGGCAAGAGGUGAUUAUACCUAUAGAAAAGAAUUUAUUGUACACGGAUCUAUUCGUUUGCUUGUGGGGAAAACAAUUUUAUAUUCGGAACAAAGGUAUAGUUCUUUGGAGGUAAUAUUUCUGAUGACAAAACAAUUCAUAAGGUAUUCUGGUUUUACCCACGUCAUUAAUUUUGAAUAAACAUUUUGAUAGGACAUAAAAUUCGGUUUUGAAUGAUAUAACACAAGGAACUAUUUCUAUUGAAAAUGGAAAUAUUGUGGAACAACUUUUGUUGAAUUCAAGAAAAACUUUUUUUAACGCCGUAUUUCAAAAAUCUUGAUAGGAAUUGGUAUUUUUUAAACUUCGACAUUGAAAUAAACCUCUUUUACUAUAAAAAAAUGUCAAUUAUACUGUGCCAUAAAUUUUUCUGUGUCGAAAAAGUUAAAGUAGUAGUAGUAGUAGUAGUUUAUUAAUCACCAACUUACAUGUAUUUAUGAAAGCAUACGAUAGAAAAAAAUAGGCGAUUAAUAUAGUUAGAAGAAAAGGUCUGUCAAAACGAGCCUUAUUACUGGACAUAGGUAUUGUUGAUUCACUUGAGUUGUUGGAAAACUUGUCUGUGAAACAUCAAUACCGAAAUUUUUUCCUUUGCAGAUAUUAUGUUUGAUAUGAUAUGAGAUUUACUUUUAAUAACUUUGUAUUUUUGACAAUAAGUACUUUAUAAUGAACCAAACUGGCACAGAAAAAUUAACUGCAUAUCUUUGACAUUUUUACAAGAGAUACACUUCAAUGUUAAUGUUUAAAAAAUACCACUUUUCAUAAAGAUUUUCGGAAUAAAGAUGAAGUGGAAAAUGGCAUUUCAAAUAACUAAAUAAAAUGUGAGUAGUGCCGCCAUCUUGAACUGGGAGUAGAUAGCUCCUAUCCCACUAUUUUGAACAAAAAUGGUAACUCGUGUUUUAUGAAAAAAUUAAUUUCGUAUUCUAUCAAAUGGUUUAAGAAAUAUAAUGUUCUAUCAAACAUUUUCAACUUGGGUUUAUUUUUGGGUAAACAUUUUCAAUUAUUUUAUCAUUAGAAAUAUCAACUCAAAGAACUAUACAAACUGAAUGACACCAUUGUUACCUGGUACAGUAAAUUCUUAGAAGAAAAGUUCAUUUGAAGUUGAGCUUUUCAAAAUGAGGCUGAACAGUCACUCAUCUCGUAAAAAAUAAUUUAUUCCUAAGAAACUAGGUUGGAUUAUACUUUAACUUGAAGGUUAUAACUUUUUUAAAUAUUCUCAGCAAUAAAUACUUCCUUUUUGAUGUAGAGUGCAGCCUUCAAAGAUAGUUCGAACAAAUUAUAUGUUUUUACUAUUUGUUGUAGAAACUAAUUCAACACAGAGUACUUUUUAUAUGAAAGAUAAAAUUGUGGGCGAAAAUCAACUACGGCAAAAACAUUAACUUUAUUUAUAGCAACUAUACAUCAUUUUUUUUUCGAUAGAACAUAAAUAAACAAGGACAAAACAAUCACUUAAUGAAAUAUAAUUCAACACUAUUGUAUACUCCUGUAUAUUUUCAAUAAAAAAAAGAAUUUUUUUAUUGGAUCCCAUUCCACAUAGGUCAACAAUAUGGGUUCGUUAGAAGACCACAUCCAUAGCAACCUUGAUUUCCUGAUUUAAUUUCUGUAUAUUCUUUAGCAUGAGAUACUGAAUGUUUCUAAUAUUUUGAAAAUGUUUCUAAUAAUAUACUCUUUUGCGAACUGUACCAUUACAUUACUUUAUUUAUUUUUUUAUAGAAAUUUGUUUUGAAAAAACAAUAUUACAGACAACUUUUACAUACUGCUAUUCAAGAUAUUAUAAUUAACUGCUCCAGCAGAAUAAUUAAAAUUUUAUACAAAAUUUAAACUUAUAGUCAAUUAUAAAGUGUAUUUAUUGCUUAUGGUUCUGGCACAGUCUCAAAGCUAGUGAUUUGUUUUGAAAUAUCUUGCAAAGAAAAGUAGUUUCCAUCAGAUUCAUUCUACUAAGACUUAUGAUGACUCAUGCCAUUUCACAUAUUUAUGUCUUAAACAAAAAAACCACAAAUUGAGCACUCACUGUGAAUCCAAUUUUACUCGUUAACAAAAAUAUUUGGUUAGUUUGUUAGGAGUUAUUUUGAGGAAUCUCGUAAAAAGCUCUAUCACAUUUUUUUAGAUUUUGCUGUCUUCCAUGAAUGAAAUGCCGCACAAUUCAGGUGAAAUAUUAGUGAAUCAAUGGUUUUGGUAUUCUUUGAAUGACAUUAUUUGUGGGAUUAAUUUUUUUGUAAUUUUAAUUUUAAAUUAUAGAUUUUAAUACAUACUCUUUAUAUAUGAUGGAUAAAUUACAAGUUUGACAAACCUAAAAGUUACUGUGUAAAAUGAACACUUCUACAGAAAAAAAUCUAUUGGACCUUUUCUUAAAAAAGUUCAUAAUCAAGUUCAAUUCGACUUGGGUAUUUUUUGUACAUCUCUAAUGAAUCUGAAUAAGUUUUCAGAAAAACAAAUUCAAAAAAUCAUUCUUUUCAUUUGGAUUUAAAAAUGUUAUCAAUUCAAGUUCAUUUCGACUCUAUGUUCUUAUACAUCUGUAAUAUAAUAAUGAAUGUUUUCAAUUCAUUUGCAUUCAAAAUUGUGUUGAGUAAUAUGGAAGAAUUAAGGAUUCAUUGUAGAUAUAGACUAGGCUCAACAAUAACAUAUAAAAUCCUCUUGUUCACACUGAUACCCAAGCCGUGGCAAACUGAACGAUUUCUCGGGAAAAUAAGUGAUACAAUCAAUAGUGACUCAGAGGGAGCAGCAGUCAAUACAAUCGAUAGAAGAGUUCAUAUUGCACAGUAACUUUUUGGAGUGAACUUCUGUGGCCUUUACAUUCAUAAAGAUUCAUUGCUUGAUGUUAAUUUUUUCAAAAUAUAGAAUCUAUUAGAUCUGGACAGAACCUUGAGGAGUGGUUUUAGGUUGUACUUACGGAAUUACUUAAAGUAGAAGAAAGAAACAGACGUCUCAAUUGUCUCAGUGUAUAUCACUGUUAUUUUAGUUGUAACUGAAUUUCAUUACAGUUUGAAUUAGAGUUGUAGAGAAAAAUACUUUUACUGAUGACGACAAAUUAAACUGCAAUGAUAUUUGUAAUUUGAGGUGAAGAUGCAAAAUGCUCAAUGAAUAAGGUGACUUUGAAGAGGAAUAUGACAGUUGUUAUUAGUGAGAUUUCAACUGUGUGCUUCCAAAUAGUUAUCCCAUUUAUCAUAUGGAAAUGUUAACUUAUUUUCGGUCACAUGUACUUCAAGGACAAGUGAUAUAAAUUGAAGGGGUUUUAUUUUUAAGAGUAACUAAUUUUUGGGAAAGAAAGUUUUUGGCUUGGCAAAAACUUUCUUUCCAAGUGAUAUAAAUAGUGGAAUAUGAUUAUAUCCUUUUAUAUUUUCAUUACUUAUACAAUAAAAGUCAUCUUUAUUCUUAGCUUUUAUGAAAUGUGAUAAGAAAGUUGAAUCAGUGUGAAACGCUUCAAUACCUAUAUAAAUUGUAUUCGUUUUAAUUGGUGAGUGCCUAAUAUAUAUUUGUUCACACUCAAAGGAGGAAUGACAAUAAUUAUUCUAAAAUAAAUUUUUUCAAAUGG